rnacentral:rRNA from 1 species
AGUUUAAGAAAGUUAUAGUCUGUACCUUUUGUAUCAGGGAGGUUCAAAAAUGUUAGAAAAUAGUGUCUCGAUUUAAACAGAUCUUUUUGUUUGGGGUUUUAGUUGCAGUUAAAGCUAAUAUAUGUCAAGAGGUGAAAAAUGUUCGAUGUUUAUGGUAUCUAGUUGCUUUAAUUUAAGGGUGGUUAAGUUCCCUUAAGUCUAAGUUAAAUAAGCUUAAAUAAAGCUAGGCUUUAGAAUAGCCAUGUUUAUAAACUGUUUUAAGUAAUGUUAAUUAAAUACAAAGGUUAGAGUGCAGAGGCUAUGGUGUUUAGUUUUAAAAACUAUAAAUAAUGGAUCUAUUGAAUAUGGGUGGGAAGUAUUAAACAACUCAAGUUGAGUUGGACAGUUUAACAAAAACAUUUUCGCUAGCGAUAUAAGAGGUAAGACCUGCCCGGUGUGUAAUUAACGGCUGCGGUAUUUUGACUGUGCUAAGGUAGCAUAAUCAUUUGUUUCUUAAUUGGUAACUGGCAUGAAAGGUUAAACCAAUUUAACUAGUUUGUGUACUUUUUUAGGAAAUUUAAGUCAAGGUAAGAAUUCUUUGAUCCCCUAGGGGACGAUAAGACCCUAGAAGCUUUAUAUGUUGCUUAUCUUUUAAUGGUGGAAGCUAAGGUAUUUGACUGGGGCGGUAUGAGUAUUUAAACUAUUUUGAGUGUAAUUUGAUCCUUUAUAUAAAGAAAAGUUGGUUAAGUUACUCUAGGGAUAACAGUGCUAUAAUUUUGGAGAGACCUUAUCGAUAAAAUUGUUUGCAACCUCGAUGUUGAAUUAGAAUGUCUAAAUGAAGCAUAAAGUAUUAAAGAGGGUUUGUUCAACC